AGUGAACGCUGGCGGUAGGCCUAACACAUGCAAGUCGAACGGCAGCACAGUAAGAGCUUGCUCUUACGGGUGGCGAGUGGCGGACGGGUGAGGAAUACAUCGGAAUCUACUUUUUCGUGGGGGAUAACGUAGGGAAACUUACGCUAAUACCGCAUACGACCUACGGGUGAAAGCAGGGGAUCUUCGGACCUUGCGCGAUUGAAUGAGCCGAUGUCGGAUUAGCUAGUUGGCGGGGUAAAGGCCCACCAAGGCGACGAUCCGUAGCUGGUCUGAGAGGAUGAUCAGCCACACUGGAACUGAGACACGGUCCAGACUCCUACGGGAGGCAGCAGUGGGGAAUAUUGCACAAUGGGCGGAAGCCUGAUGCAGCAACGCCGCGUGCGGGAUGACGGCCUUCGGGUUGUAAACCGCUUUCGCCUGUGACGAAGCGUGAGUGACGGUAAUGGGUAAAGAAGCACCAGCUAACUACGUG
rnacentral:rRNA from 1 species